GGCAGGGAGAGACAGAGAAGGAGAGGCAGGAGAGAGACAGAGAAGGAGAGGCAGGAGAGAGACAGAGAAGGAGAGGCAGGGAGAGAGACAGAGAAGGAGAGGCAGGAGAGAGACAGAGAAGGAGAGGCAGGGAGAGAGACAGAGAAGGAGAGGCAGGGAGAGAGACAGAGAAGGAGAGGCAGGAGAGAGACAGAGAAGGAGAGGCAGGGAGAGAGACAGAGAAGGAGAGGCAGGAGAGAGACAGAGAGGAGAGGCAGGAGAGAGACAGAGAAGGAGAGGCAGGAGAGAGACAGAGAAGGAGAGGCAGGGAGAGACACAGAGGGAGAGAAGCAGGAGAGAGACCGAGAAGGAGAGGCAGGAGAGAGACAGAGAUGGGGGUAGGAAACAGUAGGAGACAGAAAGAAGAUGAGCGUAGACAGAGAGUGGGCUGGAGAGAAGGCAAGAGGUAGCCAGUGUGAGACAGACAGCCAAACAGGGAGAAAGAGACAGAGACCAGGGAGACACAGAGAUGGGAGGCAGAGGCAGAGAUGUGUGGAGACAGUGACAGAUUUAAGUGUGGUGCAGACAGGAGUGGCCGAGAGCCCUCAUCCAGUGGCUGAUGGAAGCAGAGGCAGACAUCCACAGCUAUACACUGAACUGAACUCUGGAACUUAGUUGCAGAGAGGGAGGAAUGAAGAUCAAAGGGGUCGGUACCAGGCUGGUGAAGCCCACAGAAUCAGCUGGACUGCACAAGGGGGAGCAUGUGGACCCCGACCAGUCCAGGACUG
rnacentral:lncRNA from 1 species